rnacentral:rRNA from 1 species
CGGCCUCAAGUCUUCAACUGGUCCAAGACAAGGCCCGCGGUUAAUAACGUAAGUUGCCAAAGCGUGGUCCUGGAAUUAUCGGCCGUAAGCCGAGGCGCCAGGCGGUUUUUUAAGGUCUGAUGUGAAAAGCUUUCGGCUCAACCGAAGGAAGUUGCCAUCGGGAAACUUGGGAAACUUGAGUGCAGAAGAGGACAGUUGAACUUCCAUGUGUAGCGGUGAAAUUGCGUAGAUAUAUGGAAGAACACCAGUUGCGAAGGGCGGCUGUCUGGUCUGUAACUGACGCUGAGGCUCGAAAAGUAUGGGUAGCAAAACAGGAUUAGAUACCCUGGUAGUCCAUACCCGUAAACGAUGAAUGCUAAGUGUUGGAGGGUUUCCGCCCUUCAGUGCUGCAGCUAACGCAUUAAGCAUUCCGCCUGGGGAGUACGGCCGCAAGGCUGAAACUCAAAGGAAUUGACGGGGGCCCGCACAAGCGGUGGAGCAUGUGGUUUAAUUCGAAGCUACGCGAAGAACCUUACCAGGUCUUGACAUACUAUGCAAAUCUAAGAGAUUAGACGUUCCCUUCGGGGACAUGGAUACAGGUGGUGCAUGGUUGUCGUCAGCUCGUGUCGUGAGAUGUUGGGUUAAGUCCCGCAACGAGCGCAACCCUUAUUAUCAGUUGCCAGCAUUGAGUUGGGCACUCUGGUGAGACUGCCGGUGACAAACCGGAGGAAGGUGGGGAUGACGUCAAAUCAUCAUGCCCCUUAUGACCUGGGCUACACACGUGCUACAAUGGAUGGUACAACGAGUUGCGAACUCGCGAGAGUAAGCUAAUCUCUUAAAGCCAUUCUCAGUUCGGAUUGUAGGCUGCAACUCGCCUACAUGAAGUCGGAAUCGCUAGUAAUCGCGGAUCAGCAUGCCGCGGUGAAUACGUUCCCGGGCCUUGUACACACCCCCGUCACACCAUGAGAGUUGUUACAUCUCAAAGCCGGGGGGUCCCACUGGAAACCCCCCCCCUUAAGGGAUGAA